rnacentral:rRNA from 1 species
UGAGGAAUAUUGGUCAAUGGACGCAAGUCUGAACCAGCCAAGUAGCGUGCAGGAUGACGGCCCUAUGGGUUGUAAACUGCUUUUAUAUGGGGAUAAAGUGGGGAACGUGUUCCCUUUUGCAGGUACAAUAUGAAAACGGACCGGCUAAUUCCGUGCCAGCGGCCGCGGUAAUACGGAAGGUUCGGGCGUUAGCCGGAUUUAUUGGGUUUAAAGGGAGCGUAGGCCGUUUGGUAAGCGUGUUGUGAAAUGUAGGAGCUCAACUUCUAGAUUGCAGCGCGAACUGUCAGACUUGAGUGCGCACAACGUAGGCGGAAUUCAUGGUGUAGCGGUGAAAUGCUUAGAUAUCAUGAAGAACUCCGAUUGCGAAGGCAGCUUACGGGAGCGCAACUGACGCUGAAGCUCGAAGGUGCGGGUAUCGAACAGG